AGUGAACGCUGGCGGUAGGCCUAACACAUGCAAGUCGAACGGCAGCACAGUAAGAUCUUGCUCUUACGGGUGGCGAGUGGCGGACGGGUGAGGAAUACAUCGGAAUCUACUUUUUCGUGGGGGAUAACGUAGGGAAACUUACGCUAAUACCGCAUACGACCUACGGGUGAAAGCAGGGGAUCUUCGGACCUUUCGCGAUUGAAUGAGCCGAUGUCGGAUUAGCUAGUUGGCGGGGUAAAGGCCCACCAAGGCAAGGAUCCGUAGCUGGUCUGAGAGGAUGAUCAGCCACACUGGAACUGAGACACGGUCCAGACUCCUACGGGAGGCAGCAGUGGGGAAUAUUGGACAAUGGGCGAAAGCCUGACCGAGCCAUGCCGCGUGAGUGAAGAAGGCCUUCGGGUUGUAAAGCCCUUUUGUUGGGAAAGAAAAGAAGCAGGUUAAUACAUGGCCGUUCUGACGGUACCCAAAGAAAAAGCACCGGCUAACUACGUG
rnacentral:rRNA from 1 species